rnacentral:rRNA from 1 species
GAUGAACGCUGGCGGCGUGCCUAAUACAUGCAAGUCGAGCGAACGGACGAGAAGCUUGCUUCUCUGAUGUUAGCGGCGGACGGGCGAGUAACACGUGGAUAACCUACCUAUAAGACUGGGAUAACUUCGGGAAACCGGAGCUAAUACCGGAUAAUAUUUUGAACCGCAUGGUUCAAAAGUGAAUGACGGUCUUGCUGUCACUUAUAGAUGGAUCCGCGCUGCAUUAGCUAGUUGGUAAGGUAACGGCUUACCAAGGCAACAAUGCAUAGCCGACCUGAGAGGGUGAUCGACCACACUGGAACUGAGACACGGUCCAGACUCCUACGGGAGGCAGCGGUAGGGAAUCUUCCGCAAUGGGCGAAAGCCUGACGGAGCAACGCCGCGUGAGUGAUGAAGGUCUUCGGAUCGUAAAACUCUGUUAUUAGGGAAGAACAUAUGUGUAAGUAACUGUGCACAUCUUGACGGUACCUAAUCAGAAAGCCGCGGCUAACUACGUG